GAGAGAGAGAUAGACAAACAGCAAAAAAAAAAAAAUACAUAUAAUAUAUAUAUAAGAUCGUGUGAGUGUGAGUGAAAGUGCAAAACGAAAGAAAAAAAGAAAAGCAUAAAGGAAAAAAAAAAAAAAGAAAUUGUUCUGUAAUUCUCAGCCACUCUUUUAUUUCUCGAAUUCCUUACACCACCAUCUUCGGAUUAUUAUUAUUACCAAUACUACUACUACCACCAGCACCAUUAUUAUUACUACUACUUCUACUACUAUUAUUAUUAAUAUCAUCAUCGUCUCCGUUGUUGUUGUGUUGUUCGGUCGGGUUAUUCCGGCCGCCUCCGCCACUCACUCAUACUCCACAUACACACAUUCUAUCCGCUGUCUCCUGCCGAAGUAUAUAUAUAUAUAUUAUAUCUAUAUAUAUACAUACAUCCAUAUAAAUAUAUAUUAUAUAUAUAAAUACAUACACACACAUACACAGAAGUAAGUUAUCAUUUUUAUUAUUUUUUUUUCCUUCAGAUCAUCGUUAUUAUUAUUAUUAUUAUUAUCAUCAUCAUCAUCAAAUCGUCAUCAUCAUUGUAAAAUCCAAAGAAAGUUGAAUUUCAAUGGAAUCGAAGGAGUCUAAGGCCCAGCAACGCACGCAAAGAAACAGGCGCCGUAUGGUGAGAGGUCAGCAGCAACUGCAGGAGAAACAACACCAGGCGGCCCCGAUGGCGGCGGCUACGGCGGCGGCAACGGCGGCGGGAGGCAGCGGCGGCGAGGACGACGAUGACGGCGCGGCCGCGGCGGACGACGAGUGUCCAGCCAGAACCAGCAAGGAUAGCAAUAAUAGCCACAACAACAACAACAACAACAAUAACAACAGCAACAACAACAACAGUAAUAAUAGCAACAACAAUAAUAAUGCUAAUAAUAAUAAUAAUAAUAAUACUAAUAAUAAUACCACUACUAAUAAUAAUAAUAGUAAUAAUAAUAAUAAUAAGUCAAAACCGAAACCACCUCCGCCGUCCCAGCGCCGGAGGCGAACCAGUUCCAAUUCAUUUGACGAGGAUAUUAUUGAUGGAUUUGCCAUCAUCAGCUUCAAAACACUUCAGGAUAUGGAGGUAAGUCCAAUUGUUGAAACCGACAUUGGGUGGAUAUUUUACCAUGGCUAACUGAAUGGAACCGGUACCAGGUUUGAAGGUUCUUUUGUAAACUAUUGUAGUGUGAUGUCAUAUAUAUAUAUGUGUGUGUUUGGCCUAGAGGUCUGAAACACAGACCUGGAAAUACAAGAUC
rnacentral:misc_RNA from 1 species